rnacentral:sRNA from 1 species
GACACCUGUUGUCACACCCAAUCCGACAACGGAAAGGGGGUGUUCUAGCUUGAGUAUAGUAAUCUCUUUCUUGGUUUCUGUUAUGGCAGGUAUCGUUAGCUACUAUAUUUGCAAAUGGUUAGAUAGAAACGACAGUGACAAUUAACCUACAAACGGAGACUUCACCGUUAAAAAAAGAAGAAGAACCCCCGAACAGCGGCCACUGUUCGGGGGUUCGUUUGUUGUG